UGACAGCUAUCAAUCAGCACAAGAGCAAUUACAAAUAACUUGUGCUAAUUACUUAAUCUCGAAUCCAAUAAACAGGAGCAUGUGAUACUGGCUUGUGACUGCGGGUCAAAUGCAAUUGCUCUCUUCUUCUAUUUAACUCUUACAUUCAAAUUACAAAACUCUAUUAAGAAAGCUCAAAGUCAACCAGCUUUUUCUGCUGUAAUCAAAUCCAACGAAUCCUCUUUCCUUGCUUUUCAUCGCCAUGGCUCUUUGACUUAUCAGUCUCUUAUGUUGAUCUUUAACCAUUGAUAAGCAGUAUUAUAAGUAUCUUUAACUACAGGGGAUAAUCAACUAAUUUCCCAUACACUCUGUGCUUAUUGACAAGGCAUGUCUUGUCACAAGCCAGUGCUAACAUUCAGAGCAGUUCUAGCAAACAAAACAUAGUGUCUGCCAACGCAAGUGUAAGUAGAUAUUUCGUUUUCAUUUUCUAACGUGUUUUAUAGUUGUUGCAUAUCGUAUUAUUUAUUCAAAAUAAACAGCAGUAGUUUGCCUGAAGCAUCUACGUAGCUACUACAUAUCUGGCUUGUGAGUUUUUAUCAUCGAAGAAAAGUAUAAAUCCAAGCAACGCUGCAUUCAAAAUCAUUGUUUAUGAUAAAAAAGUUGACGGUGAUGAAAUUUCAAACUGUCCAGAAGUCUAUAUUCAUCCACUUUUUGAACUAGUCAGUGAUUCCAAAAUUCUCCGAUGAACUCUUCUGGGAUUGAUUUUACAAAGAUAACAACAAGGUUUCCAUUACAAGAUGGAACGUGCAUGAGUCCAUGAUAGCAUGAAUAAGUGAGAAGUACCCCCUGCGUGUUUUGAGAUAAAAAAUCCUUGAUAUUGGGUAUUCAUCUGGUAAUAUGUUAGGAAAAAUGCCUAAAUUUGUCGAAUUUUCUUUUCAAUAUAUGCGUUUUAGCAUUGAAACAAAAUACCCACAAAAGCAGUUGUGAUCUAUUAUAUGCCAAAAGCUAUACCCUAAAGUUUCAUGAAAAAAUAGCUUCUUGCAUAUUCAUUUUCUGCAGUAAAUAGAUCAUGAUAAAAGUGUUGCUAAUGGUUCGUGUUUAUUGAAAGUAAUUUAAAGAGCAUUUUCCCAACGUAUUAUCAUCAAUGUAUGGAAUUCUCUGAAUAAGGAAUACAAACAUCUGUACAGUAUCAUAGCUUCAUCAGCAUUCCGUUUAUCAGCAAAAUCAGCAUUGCAUGGCCCUCAUACCCUUUGAAUAACGUUUAUAAACAAAAAAUUUUUAUUAACCUAAAAUUUGUGGUUUAUAUGCCAAAUUCGAGUCUGGACUUUGAGUUUGUAGGAGAAACAAACAAAUUUUGACACUUUGUGUUUGCCCUUUUUGAAGAUUUGAAGAUUCAAGUGUUACAUGUAUGAGAAUUACAAAUACAUAACAACAUUUGAAUGGAAGAUCAAAACAAUAGAUAAUUGAAUUGGCAAAAAACAAACAAUAGGAUGAUUACCUAUGAAGUGAUAGAAAUACAUAGAUCUGUUUAUGAUGAAUGACCUACACCACUAAAACUAGUUUCGGUAACUUUGCAAGCAAGAUUUCAAUUAUAAGCCAUACGUAUUCAAAGCCUAUCUUAUAAAGAUGCAAAAGGGAAAUCCACCAUUUUGGAAUUAUCCACCGUAUCAAGAAGUGCGUGGAAUUUCGGUUCGUUGGAGAACAUCGUGGGAAAAUCGACAAAGAGGCGUUUUCUUUCAUGUCUUUGGAAAAGAAACUGUUAUUCUAUAGUCAUAGAAACUGCCUCAGGCGUUUAUACCCCAAUUGCAUAUGAUGUUUACUGGGUAGUUUGAUUCUUUAGAUGAAUUUGGAGCAACAAUGCCUGCCAAAAGUCUUGGAACACUGACAUCAGUUUCCAAGGUCAAAAUCAAUCAUCCCUCUCUCUCCUAUAGAACAAUGUUGGUUUACUAUCAAACGGGUUAGGAUUUUAGGAAGCACUUUCUUUUGCGCUUCUUUUAUGAUAUUUCUCUAAAUCAUCAACGUUGUUUUAGGGGGAAGGGGGCGGAAGUAGUAAUUUUUUUUCAUGAAAGGAAUGAAAAAUAUCAAAUGCAGCGUAAAUUGCUGGUUGUUCCAAGUACUUUUGGCAGGCAUUGAAGGUUUUCUAAAUUAAUUUUCUAGAAAGUAAACGGAAAAUGUUGUUUAUCAAAUCAUUAUUCUUUUUGCAAGCUUUGAAAUUAGAGUAUUGCUAGGUAUCAUAAGACGGUUAUGAAUUUUCGCCUUAAAAAUUCAAGAUAUUUUGUUUGUGCUCAUGCCCAAUCAAAUUUUGAAGUUGUGCCCCAUCAAAUGUUGCAGUUGUGAAAAUGCUAUCGCAUUUGGACAUUUGUGAAGCGAGUGCUUAUCCCUCUUCCCUAAGUUUUCUUAAAUAUGUGUUGUGGAUUGGUGUUUCAAAAAUUUUGUGCAUUUUUUGUUUGAAAUAAAAGACAAGUGUGUUACAGCAGAAAGUAUAUAGCGAUGUUUGUUGAAAAUUCUCAUUGUCAACAAAACAGUCUAUGAAUAUAUCAGCUAGGCGAUUAUGACACAAAAAUUUUGAUCCGAACAUAUCUAAGAGAAUUUUUAUAAGUAUGAUAGGGUAAAUACAAUACAUAUCAGCAGGAUAAUUUUUCUGUAAGAACAUUGCAUCGUCUAUCAUUAAAAUCUGAAUAAGAGUACAGAAAUUAGCCUUAUAUGUAAGAAAGUUUUUUCUGCUAGUGAUACAAAUAAUCUUUUCUUUCUAGAAGAUAGAAUCUUUAAACAUAAUAUUUUGUAUUAAAUUCUGGCAAACAAAUGUUGGUUUUUGAUUUCUAAAGAAUAUUUUUCAAUUACCAACAAAAGGUUCCAGCAAAACAUCUUUCAGCAGGUACGACAACAAAUGGUAUCGUUUGCUACCUUUCUUUAUUAUGGAGGCUUUUUUGUUUAUGGUUUCUGUCGCAAAUGUUUUUUAAAUUCUAACACCUUUAGAUAUAAACAUGACAUUGAAAUAUUAAUUUUUCAAAUCUUCAGUCAAGAAGUUUAAACCUAGCAUACUGAUCAAGAAUGUUUGCAAUACAUCCUGUAACGGGGAAUUAUCGACUUCUUUAAGAUAUUAGAAAAAAAGAUAAAAGCCAUUUAUCAUUCAAAAUGUAUUGUAGAUAUCACUUUAGACUUAACUACUACAAAUACUAUUUAUCUACCUUUAUCAUAAAUAUUUCUUUCAUGUUUGACUAGAAAAUUUAAGCAGAUUGACCAUUGAGUCUUCUCAAAAGCUUAGAAAGAAUUCUUACCAAUUCUAGACUCGCCAAAUAUUGAAAUAGCCAAAAAGGCGUAAAGCAGAUGUUUUAUGUGACUUCGGAGAAAUAAGUGUGAAAUUUAGAAUGAGAUGUUUGAAAAGAUUAUUGAUUCAACGCUUACUCCGUACACCCGUCUACCAUUCAAACCGGACCACCUUAAACAAAUCCGAAUGUUAUUAGAAAUAUAUCAUAAGAAUCUUAAACAUUUAAAAGCAGAAGCUCUCAUCUAGGAUUUUCCGCUUACACCAAUCGCAGAUCACGAUAGGUAUAGCUUCUUGAAUGUAGCAAAGUAUACUGGUAAGACUCUGUCAAUUUCCGUCAAUUAGUCGAGUAGGAAAUUUGCUAAUAGGCUGUUUUAAUUAACACCUUUAUAUUUGGUUAUCGAUUUAUAUAUUGAAAGAAACCUUCAGUCGAGUCAAAGACAAGGUUAAAGCUUAAUGCUUAAUCUAGUACUGUUUAUGAAAGAUAUGCAUGGUUUCCUGGGUCGCUUUCAGAAUAGAUGACUACGGGACGUCAUGAGUUGAUUUGUGUCAUUACAAUAAGGAUUAAUGGUGAUUUUGAUUGUUAAAUAACUUUUGGCGACGCACGGAUCAAUUAGGUAGGGAACAACACGUGUAAAUGCCUUGGAUUCCUUGAUAACAAAAUUGAUGAUAUUCAUGUGUUGAGAGAUAUAUAGAUUUAACUAUUAAAGCAAAUCUGAGAACUAAACAAAAGUAAAGAGAAGUAAUCUUUUUGCUUGUUUCUUAUUAGUUGAUUGAUACUCUGGAAAUUUAUGGGCACUGUAACUGUGCAAAUAUUCCACCAAAAAUUGUUUUGUGAUAAUCCUUACCAGGGGUUGCUUGCAAGCAGUAAUCAGAAUGGAGGGUAGAUGCCCUUGUCCAAGAUCGAUAAACUUGUUAUUAAACACAAUUUGAAUCUUUUUCUUAUUUUCAAUAAUAAAAUUCUAAAAUUCUUAAAUUGUGAACGCUUUUCCAGAGUGUUUUAAUAUUAGAUGUCAAGAGAACGAUUAGUUGUGGUACUCAGUGAUAUUAGAAUAAAAGGUUUUAAUCAAGCGAGUGAUCUUCGCAAACAAUUUUUUUGGCCGUACAGCAUUACAAAUUUGAUUUAAAAUGCUUCCUUCACUAAAGGUUAUGCUCUUACUUUUUAAAAAAUAAUUAAAAUGGAAAAUAUAUGAUGUAAUGCAGGAAAUCACUAACAAAAGAAUUGAAGCUUCUGGAUGCAGAGCCAGUUUUGUAAAGAAAUAUGUUGCUGUUUUAUUCUCUGUACCAAGUAAUGCAUUUAGUUAUUUUAUUAGCAGUCAUUUAAGAUAGGUAAACAAAUCAACACGCAAUCUUUCUAGGUCAGCAUAGGCUUAGCCUCGUUUCCUAUUUGCUCUUUAAGAUCAUUAAGAUGAGGCUAUUAAAAACGGUUCCUCCCCUGACAUGUAGGCAGUGCACAAUAGAUGUAUUGACAAGACAAAGCGAUUCAAUAGUCUACUGGAAAAAUAGCUAGUUGUAAUUGCCAGAGGCAGAAUAUAUAUCAGGAAAAAGAAUAAUGUGAUGAUAGUUUCUAUGACCUGAAAGAAAUUUGUCUAUGCACUUGAAGUACCGGAUGACCAGUGGUGUAGUGCUAUCAAAAUAACAAGGGGAGCUCUUGCACAAAAUGUUGCUAAAAACAAUAGAAAAAGUAGAAAUUGGCUAAAUUUCGGUAUUAACAAGAGGGGAUCAGCCCCCUGAGCCCCCUAGCACUACACCCCUGUGAAUGACCAAAUGCUACCAGCAGUAAGAAAUUAUCGCAGGGAUCUUUAAUAGUGUAUACGUAAAAAUGAUUCAGGAAAUUAUGUUGAAAACGAUAUUUCAACAGAGACAGGAAUGCUGAAUAGAAUCUAAAAUACAUUAUGUGUUAUGACUCAUUUCUACUUGAAAAUGCAAGCAAGAAUAAUAAAGUCGGCAAAUUUUUAAGAAAAACAGUUACAAUAGUGAAAUCUUUUGAAAAAUACAUUGAUGGAUUGAUUUUUAUCUCCGAAAGAAUUUAUCGGAGCCAGCUUUAGCUAUUUCCAAUAGAUAAAGGGAAUUAACAGUCGUACUUAAAACAAAUCUACAAGAACUCGAAAUUCCCAUUGUGGUUAUCAGUUAUCGUUUUUUUCUACGUUAAGAAGCCGUCUUGCUGUUUUGAAAGAGCCUUUUUAGUAUUUAUUAGAACUUUGUGUCACAGAGAUGUUUUCUUUAAUAGGCGAAAAUAUAUGAAAUUUCAAUAUUAGGCCACUUAGCAUCCAUUAAUUCAAGAGCAAAAAACACUUUUUAUCAAAAAAAUAUACUUUUAACAGCUUCAUCGUAUGGUCUAGUAUUGCCUUUAUUUUGAGUCAAGUUUAUCGUAGUGAUGCUUUUUAAAAAUCGAGAAAUGGGAAGAAACAAAUAUACCUUCGGUAACACGAGUUUUUGAUAAAACACAAAAGAGCAGAAACAUUUCAUAGCUCACUAAAAUACUUUUCGUUCGACACUCGUCCGAGUAUAAACAGCGGAUGAUUUCUAAACGUAAGCAGAAAAUCUAUAUCCAGAUGUGAAUCGAAAUUAACGUGGAAGAAUAUCGCUAUGUUUUAGUAAAAAUCAAACUGUUAUGUUUUUCACUUUUUCAUAUAGAUCUAUUGACAAAGCAGACCACGUGAACCGCUAAUGUUAUGAACAAUAUUUUGCGAAACUAUUCUUCAGCACACAAAUAACGACUGCUGUAUCAUUUCAGGCUUGCGAUACGACACGCGCUGGAGAUGUCAGAAAAACGAACAAAUUGGAAUAAAAAGAAUCAAAUAACAGGAAAAUUUACAUUGUUGCUUAUACAAACUUUCAAUUCGGCUCUUUAAUGUGUCAGGAUCAAUAAAAGAUAUGAUAGAUUGACAACGGAUGUUUAAAUAAUUUCUGUAAGCAGAAACAUCUUUAAUAUAAAUUACUGGAAAAUUCUGAAUUAACAAGAAGUGGGCCUAGGAAAUUUGAAAAACCAUAAGCAAGUUAAGGUUUUCUGCAGAAAACGAUGAAAGAAUCCGGCAAAUUUUUGCUGGAAAUUUGUUGGCGUGGCGUCCAAAUUGUAAUCUCGUUCUAGUUCGUCUAGUCUAAACUACCAAAUUUGUUGACUGACUGAGCUUGUUACGUCAUUAGCGGGUAAUUUGUAAUUGGUUAAUAUAGAUCAUGUAUAGGAUUACAAAGAAUUCAAUGGGUUUCUUCUAUUUCUUAUGAGCUAGUUUCAAAGACACGACGAAUUCAUUAGCAAUGACCUGACGAUAUGUUAAAUAUCAUUUGUUCCAUCCAUGAUGUUUUCUGUUAACUCAAAGGUUGACAUAAGUCUGUGCCACGCGGGAAACUUUUAGAGGCUUUAAAGCUGUCCUGCUUCCUGAUGAAAAGUGAAAAGCAUUCACCCCUUGAGAGCCAUUUUCAUCAUUUCAGGGAAAAUUUAAUAGUAUUCGCUGUCAGAGUAAAACUAGGGCCGCACUGACUGCAAAAAAGCAUUCUGGAAAUAAAAAGAUUAAAGUUGCUAUUCUUUAACAAUCGAGACUAAGUACAUCAUUCCCGCUUGUUCUUGAAUAAUAAACGUUGUACUUCAAAAAUAUCGGAUGAUACUAUUUUCGGACAGUAGGAGCGUCCGAACUUUUAUCGUCUGCAGCAUUUUGUAGCACAAAAUAUUUACCGUCUGAAAAUUUUUGCACCAAUUUUUCUCAAAGCGAAUUUUCUUACAGCAAAGCUUUCCACAAUUUUGAAUUAGAAUGUCUUUUCGUUUGGCAUGUAAAAGGGACUAUAUUUAUACCUAGCUACUAAGUGACACAAUUUCACUGUAUACAAUUUCAUUUAGCCAUCACGAAACUUUCUAGUCAUUCUCGCAUUUAUUACAUCGCUUACUGUGAUACUUUCAUCGUAAUUAAUGUCGAUAUCUUUGUAUACAGUAUUCUUUUUUGCCCACUUUAUAACUUCCUUGAAUAAUGCUAUGAGGCGGGCAAGAUCCCUUCGCUUGUCAUCUGCUUUGGUGACCUUUGAUGCAGUUGUGUUAUGAUUGUGAAAGCUUUCGAAGUGACGGGCAUAACCCCAUCAUUGGCUUUUAUUGUAUCAAUAAAUACAUUUAUUGUAUCGAAAAAGGUGUUACAUAUCUACAACAUCGAAAUCCUUUCACAAGCAACACUUUUCUAGCUUCGCAUGUUCUAUCAUUGUAGCAAGUAUAUUUUUAUUCUAAGGCUGUAACAUUCAAAGAAGAAUAGAUACAAUAUUCAAAGCAUUUUCUUGAAUGCUCAAAACCUAUUAAAUGUUCUCGGUAAACACAAUAAAUCGUUGUUCAUUCAUUUUAAAGACACUAUUUCACAAAUUUACAAUGUCAGGCUAAAAAGCACUGAUGUUCUUCUCGCGAGUACCAUUUGUAACCAACGACGUUUAUCAGCAGAAUAGAUCUGGGCACAAAUGACGUCAUUUAGAUAAAAAAAGGACAGCUGAGUGACGACGAUAUAAAAUGUGAACAAUUUUUUGCGGUACAGAACUUGAAAAUGGCUUUGAAAAAUAUAAAAAUUUUACAACAUCUUUGCUGUCAAUCCUCGUAUUGUUUACAGCACUAGAAGAGCCCUUCCAUCUAUUCAAAAGGAUUGCGUUCCUACCAACUAAAAAAUUUCGGUUAUUUUUUAAUUUACGUGCCAGUGUGAUUCUGGCUAUGCAGGACGCACAACCCAUAGAUUGGGGGAUAGGAUAAAACAGCAUGUUUCUUCCAACAUAAGAAGCAAAACUGCUCCUCAAAAAGAACAGCCUCCUUGAUCUUGUAGGUCUAAAAACACUGUUAAAACAAGUGAUUCUGCCAUCGGUCAACAUCUUUUAAACAACCCAGAUUGUGCAAAACUCUAUAAAAUUUUGAUGAAUGAAUGAAAAAAUGAGUUCCAUAGAAUUUCUAUAAGUGUGCAAGAUCAUGUCAAGAUCAUUCUUUAAAACUAGCUUAGAUGUGAUCAAUAAAAGAAACAAGUUUAAUGCCUUUUUGUUUUUAUUUGGUGGCAUAAUAUUAUAUCAUAAUAAUCCAAAUUCACCUAAUUUUCACCAAGUGCUGCUUUUUUUAAAAAGACUUUUCUACAUUUUUCUUCCAAAUGCAACACUGGUAAAUGCAAAGCUGCGUUAAUAAACUUUCAUUCAAUUCAGUAUUUAUGUCGUUCAAAUUAAAACGAAAAUCUUCUCUAAGUUAAAACUUAAGAUGCCAUGUCAAUGCAAUAUCUUAACUGAUAAAGAGACUUUACAGAAAAUAACCUCUGUUUAAGAGAUCAAUAAUUUUGCUCUUGCUUUACUGAAGUCAUAUGCCAAAAUAGAUACGUUCUCUAUCUUGUCACCUGCAAUCGUGGAACCGAGCUAUGUCUUUUGCAGCUUUAAGAAUUUCUAGUUUUUCAUUGCAUCAUUUUUUCCUGCCAUAUUUACUCAGAAUUCUUUAGGUAUGAAAACGUCUCCCUCAACUUUCCUUUCUGUUUAGACAUCCAGACUGCAUGAAUUAUUCUAAACUCUUUUUCCUUGUUACAUGUUACAAAAACUGUAGCACUCUUAUAGCAAAUUAUAUUUCCUAGUUUUUCCUUUUUUUUUGUUUCUUUGAAUUUUCACAGACUAUAUCAUCAUUGAUUAAAAAGCAUGUGCCGUUUAGAGAGCAAACCUGUAAUUCUUAAGAAGAGCAAUUAAUCAUGUCACGUAGCAUUUCGAAUAGAUUCGUUUGACCUUUUAUUGAAAAAGAACAACUUGCGUAAGGCCUGUGCCUUUAUGUUUGUAUACCCCAUAGUACAGUUUUACACAGAAUCACGUUAAUGGAAGACUGAACUUAUCAUAUUAGAUGCUAAUAGGAUAAAAAUCAACAGCCAACCAGCUGCUAAAUUGCCUUAAGAAAAACUGUUACUAGAAAUUACUUUGAUUGUCUCUUGGCGAGUUUUUCAAACGAAUUCUUUUUUCAUGUACGUGAAGAAGAGG